rnacentral:rRNA from 1 species
UACGUAGGGGGCAUGCGUUGUCCGGAAUUAUUGGGCGUAAAGAGCUCGUAGGCGGCUUGUCACGUCGGUUGUGAAAGCCCGGGGCUUAACCCCGGGUCUGCAGUCGAUACGGGCAGGCUAGAGUGUGGUAGGGGAGAUCGGAAUUCCUGGUGUAGCGGUGAAAUGCGCAGAUAUCAGGAGGAACACCGGUGGCGAAGGCGGAUCUCUGGGCCAUUACUGACGCUGAGGAGCGAAAGCGUGGGGAGCGAACAGG